CCUACGGGUGACAGCAGUGAGGAAUAUUGGUCAAUGGACGAGAGUCUGAACCAGCCAAGCAGCGUGAAGGAUGACUGCCCUAUGGGUUGUAAACUUCUUUUAUAUGGGAAUAAAAUGUUCCACGUGUGGGAUUUUGUAUGUACAAUAUGAAUAAGGAUCGGCUAACUCCGUGCCAGCAGCCGCGGUAAUACGGAGGGUCCGAGCGUUAUCCGGAUUUAUUGGGUUUAAAGGGAGCGUAGGUGGAUUGUUAAGUCAGUUGUGAAAGUUUGCGGCUCAACCGUAAAAUUGCAGUUGAAACUGGCAGUCUUGAGUACAGUAGAGGUGGGCGGAAUUCGUGGUGUAGCGGUGAAAUGCUUAGAUAUCACGAAGAACUCCGAUUGCGAAGGCAGUUCACUGGACUGCAACUGACACUGAGGCUCGAAAGUGUGGGUAUCAAACAGGAUUAGAUACCCUUGUAGUC
rnacentral:rRNA from 1 species